GAACGUCGUGAGACAGUUCGGUCCCUAUCUGCCGUGGGCGUUGGAUAUUUGAGAAGAGUUGCUCCUAGUACGAGAGGACCGGAGUGAACGAACCACUGGUGUUCCGGUUGUUUCGCCAGAAGCAUUGCCGGGUAGCUACGUUCGGAAGGGAUAACCGCUGAAAGCAUCUAAGCGGGAAGCCUCCUUCAAGAUUAGAUAUCCCAGGUCUUAGACCUGUAAGGAACGUUGGAGACUACGACGUUGAUAGGCUGGGUGUGGAAGUACAGCAAUGUAUGAAGCUUACCAGUACUAAUGAUCCGA
rnacentral:rRNA from 1 species